rnacentral:misc_RNA from 1 species
CAACUGGGUUACUCAGUAAAAUCAAAGGGCUUUAGUCGGAGAGGUCCUCUUCAACGUAGUAUGCAUGCCCGUUAGAUUCAGAGCCCAUAUCGCUCUGUGAAAAUAGGGACUAGACCAAAACCCAAGUAGCUUAACCUGAGCCAUCGAUCAAGAGGUCAUCCAGUGUGUAUUUUUCUUUACCUCAUCAAUGUACUAAUAAUGAAAAGUAUUGUG